CCACAUUUUAUAUUUACUACCUCCCUCUUUAUACAAUCUUCCUAUCCAUGCUCUAUCUUUACAGGUAAUUUUACGACGUAUAAACUCGAUACUUCGAUAUUUACAUUCUUCCUUAAUCCUCUGCACAACUAUUUGGGGUCUUGGGACAGUUUUGUGCCAUAGAGCUUCAUUUCUGGCGUGCCAUAUGUGGUAUACUAAUGCUGCAAUCACUGCCCAGGUUAAACCUCUACUUACUUUGCUCACUGCGUAGCGCGCUAGUCUUGUCCAUAUUCCCUAUAGCUCCUUGUUUUGUAGUGACACCCCUAGCCAGCUCAGGAUUUCAUUCAAGCAUGCCUGGGAAAAGGGGCAUUCAAAGUACAAAUGUUCAAUAUUUUCAGCUGCAUUGUCGUACAUCAGACACAUAUCUUCUUGGCAGACAGCCCAGCGAGCUAACCUUCAUCUAGUUUUCACUCUCUGAUGCAUUGCCAUCCUGCAUAUAAAGCUAUGCUUGGGGAUGUUUGUUCUGUUCCAUACGCCUCUCCACCAAGGCCAGAUAUUGUGUAGGCAACCACGUCUUGAUGAUGAUACAUACAACCAACUUGUUGAGAAGGCUAAAGAAGUAGGCUAUGAUGUGAGCAAACUCCACAAGACACCUCAUUCUGAGUCUCCACCAGAGGGUGAUAAUGCACCAACAGACUCAAAAGGAGUUUGGUGGCUCAAAUCAAUCUUUGGAAGAUAAAAAAUUACAAUACAAAUUAUGAGAAGUUGUCUUGUAAAAAGAGCUUGUUUUAAAUUCCAAAUGUUUGCAAGUUGUUAUAGUAGUAUGUACUAGUUGUAGAGUUUGGUGUUGUGAGCUAAGAGAGUUUGUUGUCAAUUUUGCUUAUGAGUUUGAGUAUAUAAAAUGUGGAUUCUUAUUUGUU